rnacentral:lncRNA from 1 species
AUGUUUCCACCCACUUCAGGUCCCCGGAUAGUCCUUGGAGCCCAUUUUGAAAACCUCUGUUCUUGGGUAUCAGCUGUCUUAGUGCUGGUCAAGUUCAAUUUUCCACCACCAGAGCUUUCUGAAGAGGAGUCACUCUGCAGCAGAUCACUGCUCGACAAGCACACGCCGUCUCCAAAAACUCACGCUCCAUAUCCGCUUCCAAAGCAUGAGCCUGGUCAACAGAGACAGGAAAAUAUUUCUUCAUAUCUCUGUUUAAAAAAACUUGCUUUUACCAGCCUAAGCUGGUUCGCUGUUCUUGACCGGUCAAGCGGUGGCCAGCUGCAUAAAUUGCUUAGACUAGUCUUAAAGGUUAGUCAUCAAAAAAAAAAAAAAAAAAAAACCUUUUACUGCAAGACUGGUCAUAAUUUUUUGAAAUCAGUUAUUUAAGAAUAAAGACUGGUCUAAUCUAGAACCCAAAAAGUAAGACCGAUUACCACUUGGAUAACUGCUAGUUAGUCAAACUAUUUACUUAAGAAAUAGUCUUAACAUGGUGACUACUGUAUGUUUAUGCAACUGACACCUGGAUCUAGAGAGGUUUUGGGCACCAACAACCAGCAAAACACCAGCUUGGUCAGACCAGCUUGAACCAGCUAAUACCAGGGUCUUCAAUCAAAUGAAAUGAAUACCAUUAAACUUCAUCAUUCAGAUUCUUUCUGAACAAAAUGAGUGCUGUUAUGGUCACCUAAAACUAACAUUAAAAAUAUAUUUUUAUAUUGAAAUAGAGCUGAAAUAAAAUCAAAUAUUAAAUCUAAAUAUUUUAUGAAAACUUAAACAUGGAUCAGUGGAAGACUCAAUAAAAGCGUGGCAUGAGGUUAUUUUUAAUAAUACAUGUGUAAUACAUUUGAAAACGGAUCAGUUCUGUAAGAUCUGGACCUCCUAUCAGGACUACAGUAUAUGAAACCACAUCUUAGUCAUCCUAUUAAAUUCUAUUAUAACCUCAUCCUAUUAUAUUACAGGAAGUAUUAGAAUCUAAAUAAUCUAAUAAACUGUCUGGACAUUUUUAAUACUAUUUGUUAUUAAGUUUAUUAUUUGCUUCUUUCCUGUUUUCCCUGAACAGACUCGAAAUAGCUGCUUAUUAAUAGUUAGUAAGGUAGUUGUUAAAUUAAGGUAUGGGGUAGGAUUAAGGGAUCUAAAAUAUAGUCAUGCAGUAUAAGCUAUUAAUAUGUGCUUUAAGUACUAAUAAACAGCCAAUAUGCUAGUAAUAUGCAUGCUAAUAAGCAACUAGUUAACUGAGACUUGGUCCCUAAACGAAGGUUUUACCAAUUACAUAAUUAAUUAUAUAAUAAUUAUUAUUAUUAUAUUUAAUAAAUAAUAUAUAAAAAAUAAUAUAUAACAUAAAAAUAUAAGAAAAUAAUAUAAUAUAUAAAAAUAAUAUUUAUAAAUAUAUUUAGUUAUUUAAAAAAUAACUAAAAUUAGAAAUGUUGCCUUGGCAACAAACGGAAAUUAAUAAGAUGAAAUACUAAAAUUACUCAAAUCAAAACUGAACAAACUAAACAGAAUUUAAAAAGCAAAUCAAAAUGACAAUGUCACCUGACCAAACCAGAAAACAGACUUGUCAGAGAAAGUGUUAACGGCAGCAUGAACUCAUAGCGAUAUUUAUAUACUUUAAUAUACAUCAAUCUGCAUAUGUGAUGGACAUUGAUUAUGAUCAUCUUCAGUAUCUCCUUUGAAGGUAUCGUGAUUAAAUAGUAAUUUAAUGAACAAUAAUAAAUAUUAAUUAAUAAUAAUCUGAAAACAAC